GGGCCUGUAGCUCAGUGGACUAGAGCACGUGGCUACGGACUACGGUGUCGGGAGUUCGAAUCUCUCCAGGCUCG
rfam:Phormidesmis priestleyi Ana ITZX_scaf_46, whole genome shotgun sequence.